rnacentral:rRNA from 2 species
CCUAACACAUGCAAGUCGAGCGAGGUAGCAAUACCUAGCGGCAGACGGGUGCGUAACAUGUGGGAAUCUGCCUUUUGGUUCGGAAUAACACGGGGAAACCUGUGCUAAUACCGGAUAAGUCCUUACGGAGAAAGUUUUAAUGCCAAAAGAUGAGCCCGCAUUUGAUUAGUUUGUUGGUGAGGUAAUGGCUCACCAAGACUACAAUCAAUAGCUGAUUUGAGAGGAUGAUCAGCCACACUGGGACUGAGAUACGGCCCAGACUCC